GAGUAACACGUGGGCGAUCUGCCCUGCACUUCGGGAUAAGCCUGGGAAACUGGGUCUAAUACCGGAUAGGACCACGGGAUUCAUGUCCUGUGGUGGAAAGCUUUUGCGGUGUGGGAUGGGCCCGCGGCCUAUCAGCUUGUUGGUGGGGUAACGGCCUACCAAGGCGACGACGGGUAGCCGGCCUGAGAGGGUGUCCGGCCACACUGGGACUGAGAUACGGCCCAGACUCCUACGGGAGGCAGCAGUGGGGAAUAUUGCACAAUGGGCGCAAGCCUGAUGCAGCGACGCCCCGUGGGGGAUGACGGCCUUCGGGUUGUAAACCUCUUUCACCAUCGACGAAGGUUCGGGUUUUCUCGGAUUGACGGUAGGUGGAGAAGAAGCACCGGCCAACUACGUGCCAGCAGCCGCGGUAAUACGUAGGGUGCGAGCGUUGUCCGGAAUUACUGGGCGUAAAGAGCUCGUAGGUGGUUUGUCGCGUUGUUCGUGAAA
rnacentral:rRNA from 1 species